CUUUCUCUUCUUCCUUUUGCUCUAUUUUUCUCCUUCCUCCUUUUUCUAUUUUUCCUCUUCUUCCUCUUGCUCUUCUUUAUUUUUCUUUUCCUAUUCUUUUUUGCUUUUCUUCCUCUUGCUCUGACUUUUCUUCUUCAGUGGAAAAAAGAAAAGAAAAACAUGUAAAUGAAUUUACAACUUUAUUGAAAAUAACCCAAACCAGUUGUGACGUCAAAUGCAUAAAAAUACUAAUUUACUAUCACAAACCCAAACAUCACGGUCUUCCUGCUCCACAGUGUUGGAAUUCUCAAACAACCGGCUUUGCGGGGUUUCCUUUGUUCUCAGGAGUUUGGCUCCAGAGACCAAAUACAAAGGUUUAAACCUGCGUCAGACUCGCUGCAGAGUUCAUUAAUAAGCAGUUUAGUCGAGGCUUUUGGCCAAGUUCCACUCAGCUGUGACAUCGGCGACUGAUCUGCUUUAAACAGGAAAACAGCUGAGAUUGUGUUCUUCAAACAUGAAGAAAAGCCUUCCCCUGUAGUUCCACAGGAAGUAUUAGACAACUCAAACAACAAGGACCUGUUCAGCACGUUGUGCACAAAGUGAACUAUAUGUGAACGUUGCUGCUUUUCUAAAUCUUGGUCAGCUCUAGGCUGCAGGAACACCGUGAGCUGAGGUGGGCUCAUGAAAAGUAUGCUCAGAGUUUUCCACGUCGUUUCUGCAGCUCGGUGCACCUGUUUGCUGCAUGAAAGGUGGAGUGAUUUGUGACUUCUAAAGGCCACAGAAUGGGACAAAUCCAGUCAGACUUUCAGUCCUGGGACGUGCAGCGUGUGGUGUGUUUUCAGUUCUGCUCCUCAUCAAUCUUCAGGAUAUUUUCUCAUACGGACCCCCUACAAGCAGCCUGCUCAUUAAGCCUAACCGUGUCUUUAAGUCAUGAAUAAAAGGUCUCCUAAAGGCAUUUUGAAAAGUAGAUUAGAGAGGUGAUUGCUUCAGGCUCAGGGUGUGAUGCACGUGAGAGGACAGGGAUUAUAAUUUACGGUCAUCUGAUCUAAAAAUAGCAGCAGUCCCUGCUCAUCUGCUGCCGAUUGCUGAAACAGAUUUAGAUUAGUUUGUUUUCCCCCAGGAAGUCAAAUUUGUGCGGACUGAUUAAAGAGGAUGUUGCCAUGGUAACAGCAUAAAAAAGCUUGAUUUAUAAAUGUCUGGCUUCAAGAUUAAAUAUAUCCGAGUAUUCUUUAAACAUGUCAUUACUAUCGCACAAGAAAGUAAUUAUGAAUCAAACUGAAAGUUAUUGAAUUAAGGAAAUAAAAAAUAUCCUAAUUAAGUCAUUUUUUGCACAAGCACACAUGUGCUUGUGCGUGUUGGCUGCACACCUUGGUGUGUGACAUAACUUGUUGUGUCACACUCUUCACAGAGCAAAGUUUAUGAACAUUUCUUAUCGGAUUCAGGUCAAACACCUGUUCUGACACUACGGCACUCCGUUGCACACACCCUAUCCGGCACUGCGGGGCUUCUAAGGUAAACCACACCUGCAGAGCUGCACACUCACCCUCCAUCCUUCUCUUCCUGCAGCAACAAGAAAAGAAUUGUGUCUCGGGGCUUAAACAGAAGCAGUAAGGCAGGAGAGCAUGCAUUCACUCAAAGAUUCGCCAAGGGGUAAAGGUCCAAACAACUGACGCACAAAGUCACCGCUCCUCUGUGUGGCAGGAUCCAGUGAAAAGAACGUUUAUAAUCUCAAAACAGUGAAAUAUUGUCUGGAGAAAAAAGAUCUGUUUAAGAAUGAUGUCAUCAAAGAUGGGGUGACUGACCUCAGCAACAGAAAAAAACCUGUCUGCAAACCAUCAGAGCAGGUCGGUGCACGGAAAACAACAAAGUCAUUUUUAAAGGCAACUCACUUUACGUAAGAGUUGUUUAAUAAUUACCGCUCUUCUAAUUCAAACUGAAUCUGUCUAUAAAAGCUAAAUAAGUCAAAGCUAAAUUAGCUUGUGUGAGGUUGUGUGUCGUCACGGUGAGAGCAGGAGGUUAGGACCCAGGAUGCAGAAUCCCCAGAACGACUCAAGGCAGGAGCGGUUUGAGAGAACACUUCCUUUAUUUUAAAGGCGGAUGCGCCAAAGUCCAGAGGCACCAAAACAAACCCGACUUAAUAUCAAACUCGCUGAUCGAACAAACAGAAGCUCACUCAUGAGCACGAACCAGGGUAACUAGAGGAGGACAGAACACGCUGAUGAUUACAAUGAACCAGCGACACUGAGAGACACAGACAGGGUUAUGAACACAGAGGGAAACAGGUGACAGGUGCGAGUAGUGAGAUCUGGAGGGAAGGCAGGUGCAUACAAUAACCUAAAUGGGGGAAAGAAACAAGCAGGAUGGCAGAUAAACCUUAACCUAUAAAACACAAAUACAACUAAACCUAAAGACUGAGGGCCAAAAAUAAACAACUAAUAACUAGAUGGAUGAGGAGGACUAAAAUAAGGUGGACUAGGAAUAGGGAGUGAUUAGGAGGACACCUGAGGGAAGUCUAGAGAGGGCUGGGGAUAAUAAUGGGACACAAGAGGAGAACCUGGAGCGAGAACAGGAGGAGGCUGGGGACAGACGGACACAGAACACGACAGUGUGUGUUAGUUACAGAACUGUGCCAGGCACCAUUUAGCAAGGUGUCACAUUUUCUCCCCACAAUCCACAGGUUUAGAGGUUGUGAGCAGCUCUAAGGAACACUGACUGCAAUAUCUGUUUCUCUAAUUUCCAGAAAGUAUUGUUCCACGCAAACGCAUAGAUGUAGAUUUUAUUUCUUUAAUCACAGCCAGUGUAACCCCUCAGCGUGUUCAUUUGUGAUAAAAAGCUAAUUUUCAAGUAUUCUUUUUCCUUAGUUGAAACUUUUGUUUCUGACUUUGUCAGUUCCGCGUUUUUUAACCUUCAGCAAGCGCCAGGAGAGCUGCUGCCAGGACCUUGACCGGGUAAAGUCUAACUCAGGGACUCCAAAAAGAUCGUAACGCUUAAAUGAAAGAAAACACCACUUUUUGACCAUUUUCAGCUAAUUUAAAAAUGUUUGACAAAGACACUUGGGCAUCCUUGUGUGUCCAAUGAAAAGUUGAACUGUUCCUGAAAGUUAGAAACUUUGCUCAUAAUCAAACUUUUGUUUAAAAAGAUGCAAAAGAAAAAAACCAGGCCAGGAGAUUCUGCUCAAACUGUUUCAAAGACAGAAAAUCCAUAACUUGUCCACGUGAGAAGGUUUAGUUGCAUAUUUUUGAUACUAAAUGUAUUCGAUUUAGUUUGUUUUGAAAAGAUCAGGUGGUUUUAAAGCUGGAAACACGCCAACAGGGUGUUAUAUGUUCAAACACAGUGAGGUCACAACUCUCCUUGAAACAGACUUAGAGGAUAAAUCAAAGAAAUCAGAAACUGCGGCUGAUCUGUCGUUAAGAUAAUAAAACCUGAACUUUGACCUUGAUGGUUAAUGAACAUCAGCUAGGUUAGUUGGUUGGUGGGUAGUUAGCAUCUUAAGCUCCAGUCGUGUAAAACACAAUGUGCCUAAAAGGGCAAAGACUGUGAGUUAAGAGUUUAAAACCAUAAAACAUCCCAUAGUUUCUCGCUGUACCAUGGUGCGGAGUUGUGUAACUCCUCAGCGGUGUUGCAGACUGUUUUCUUUCUCUCCACCUCCCACUGGGGUUGUGUCAGGCCAUCAGCAGCUGUUUAAACUCUAAAUCAGCAGGGAAACAGGGACAUGUAGCUAGUCCACACUCAACAACACUUCCUGGUAGAGGCUUUUCCAUAACCCAAUCAAAAACCUUGGGAAGGGGCCCAAAGUAAAUAAAUAAAUAAAGAAAUAAAAGUUUUUUUAUGGUAAAUCAUUUAAAUUAAAAUACAGAGUCGUCUCAACAUUGUAGCCUGGCAAGCCAUCCUGUAUAUGUAAAUCUAAAGUCUGGCCAAGACCCAUAGACAAAGUUCAGUGGUGGGGCAAAAGCUAUGGUUGUCUUUCAAACUGUCUCCGCUCGCAAUUGGACAGCUCUAGGACCAAUCAGAGCAAUGAACAAGAUGACGCAUUCAUCACUACAGAGAGCGGUCAACGGGGCGGUCUGCCAUCAAAGAAGAAGCAGAAGUAGAUAAAUCCUUACUUAGCUUAACUACCUCUAUCUGCAUCUCAGGGUUUUGUUCACGAGUGAGGGAAAGAUGGAGCGUGAGAUCGAUAGGCGGAUUGGCGCGGCGUCUGCAGUGAUGCAGGCGUUGUACCAGUCUGUCGUGGAGCAGAGAGAUCUGAGCCGGCAGGCGAAGCUCUCGAUUUACCGGUCGAUCCACGUUCCUACCCUCACCUGUGGUCACGAGCUUUGGGUAGUGACCGAAAGAGCGAGAUCACGGAUGCAAGCGGCCAAAAACAGUUUUCUCUGCAUCUGUGGAAAGAUUAGAAGACUGCUGUUCCUGGGUGCUCUCCACCCAUUUGCAAAUGCAUUAAGGCCUCCACUUGAAUGAAGUUUGUAGCGUUUGUCUAAAUAAAAAUUCUCUGAUAAAAGUUGUGAGCAGGCGUAUUAAUGCCAAAUGUACAAUAAAUGACCCUUCUGCAUUUUAAAAGUAAAAUGUUAGUCUGAACAAGCUCUGAGGUUUGUGAGUGUAAUUCAAGCCCGAAUGAGUGUCAUGUUGGCCGCUCAUAGUCUUCUUCAUCUGAUGUAAUCCUAAACACUCGCAGACGUGAUGUGCAUCACGCAGGAGAGGAAAACCUCUGCUGCACACACUCAUUCUCCCUUCAGCAACCACGCUAAACAGCGUGAGUUUAGCAUGAGUGUGUGCUCUUAAAAUAACCCAGACAGAACACGAGAGGUAAGGAGAGCACUGAGCGUACACCAGCUCAUAGUCUGGAAUAAUCUGGAUUAAGCCUGCUGCUGACUGUAGUCCGGUUCACUGCUGUGGGUUUAUGUUUAUUUGAGCUCUUGCUGGUUGAAUCGGAGUGAAUUAUAUUCUACGAACCAUUCCCUCUCAAACGUGUCGACGCCUGCCUGCUGUGACACCAGAGUGUUUCCAUUUGCAUCAUUUAUUAAUGGCUGUAACGGAGAAGGUGUGUAAACAGAUAAUGAUUCAGAGGAAUUUCCAGUUCAUCUUGUGAUGCAUGAUGUCAUUUUUUUCACAAUUUUCCCAUCUAGAGGUGAAUUUAUGAAAUAUUUUGUAAUAUUAUCUCACUUAGCUUGAUUUUAAGACGAAGCACAUCUUGUAGCUAUAAUUGUUUUUAUUUGUUUAUCAGGCACUUUUAUCCAAAGUUAAGUAUGAGUUACCUGAAGCCCAGUUCACACAGCAGGAUUAUGAUGCAGAUCUUAUCAGAUAAUCCUACCAUGUGUGGUGUGCUAUGAGUGCUCUGGUCUGCUGGGAAGUACGUCAGGACCGCUCCGAUCAUGAAUCCGGGCUUUCUGACAUGUUGAAUUGUCUUGGGCUGAUAUUCGGGGGACACAUUAAUGUGAUGCCUGUUGAAUGUGACACGGAGCCAAUCUGAAAUCAAGACAGAAGCGUGCUGCACACUCCCCCCAUCCACCAUGUUUGUUUACGCUGAAGUCUCAUUUUAUCUUGUAAGACUUCCCGUCUCAGUGGAGAAUGUCCACGAGCGAAAGCUUCUCUAGAGGGUAGUAUUUGCUGUGCUUCGCACCACACUCUGUCAGAUCAAACCUGGGAUAUCCGUGAUUUUUUUUAUCACCACGCAUGUGGUCCGUCGUUCUUUGAAAAUCUGCAGACUAUUUUAAAAUCCUGCUGUGUCAGCCAGGCUUGACGUGUUUUUGGUUAGCGAGAGGAUGCUGUCCUACCUGGAGAAAACAGGUAUGAUGCUAUGACUUUUUAAUAUUAUAGAAGUCUUGUUUUGUAAGGGCCUCCUCUGGGACAAGCCAUUAGCUAGCCUGUAUCGAUCGCUAUUUCUUCUAACUGAGGGUGUUCACAAUCAGUUUCUCUAGGUUACACUGUUCACAGUGAUUUUAGUUUUUCAUUGGACAUUUAGUUUUUGUUCAUUUAAUCGUUUUGUUUUCUUUCUUUCUUCUCAUGUUUUUGAGAUGGGGUCAGAGGUUCAAAUCCCAGGUGUGGUCUUUCUGUGCAGAGUGUGCAUGUUCUCACCAUGCAUGUGUGGGUCUCCUCCCAUAUACCAAAAACAUGAACGUUAGGUUAGCUUUUUACACAUUAUUUGGAAGGUAGUGUGAGGCUAAACGUGAAAAUAGUUCUCUACACCCAUUUCCUGCAUCAGCUUCUGACAGAAAAAAGACGGGGAAAUGCUCGGGUUGGAAAAGCCAGUCAGAUCUACGCCACACUGUAAAUUAGCAUUCAUGGACUCACCCAUCUUGGCCCCUGAUGGGUUGUUGGUUUAACGUCCAGAAGAGAGCAGAAAACACCUUGCUAGCAGAUGCUAAAUGUUAGCAAUAGCAACUCCACCACACAGCAGAAAUUCCUCCAAGCUUGUGUCAUUUGCAGAGCAAACCGAGUAGGUGGUAGGGUCAUGUUGUCUCCUGCUCACCUUUCAACUGGCUAUCUUUGACUUCCUUUUACUUUUCUGCAGAGAGCAUCUCAGAAGGCAAUCGUUUAUUCUAGAGACCACUUGAUUUUUAAUAUCUUUAUGCUUUAUUAUUUGUGGUCUUUACUGCUUUUUCGUUUCUACCUUUUUAUAUCAGUUCCUUUGUGCAUCUUGAGUCAUUUGACAAUUUUUUCAUGACGCUUUACCUUAUAUUGAAUUUAAAAUGAUUACAUGUCUAUUUUUCUUUGACAGAUUGUGAUGCAUUCUGAUAAAAAACAAAGAGCACUUGGCUGUCGUCCAUGGUUUUUUUGUUGACAGCAAAGAUUGGAGUGAACCUUUAAACAGGUUACAUAAGACAGAUGCUGCGUUGCUACUGUGAGCUCAAACGGACGCCCAAAGUCUAAAACUCGUCCUGACUCACAGAGACAGUAGAUCUUUAACUUCCCCAGUCGUGUGCGUGAUGAGGCCGUAGGAAGUUAAAGCUGUUCUGUAUUAACCCUCUAAGGCUGUGAGAGGAGAGCCCUGAUCUCUGGAUCCUUACCAAAUGGGACGAUGCUUGUGUUGAGUGAACGGCUCCUUACAAACAAAAGAGCCAAACAUCUCCUGCAUCGGAGGAGGCGAAAAGUCAGAAUAAGGAAAGGAGCAGAACAUAGAAGAAAAAUGGUCUUCCUAGGGCUCUACAACCCCCCAAGGCGCUUCACAACCAAAUCACUCAUUCACACGCUGGCGGGGAGUAGCUACGAUGCGGCCACAGUUGCCCUGGGGCGCACUGAUGGAGGCGAGAUUGCCGAACACAAGUGCCACCGGUCCCUCCGACCACCACCAGCAGGUAUGGUUAAGUGUCUUGCUCAAGGACACGACAGCAGCAUUCUCGGGCAGGAGCCAGGAUCAAACCCACAACCGUAUGAUUACUGGACAACCUGCUCAACCUCCUGAGCUACUGACGAUGUUUACAGUCACAAGCUUUCUUGCAUCUGCUGAGUAACUUUCACAUUCGGACUAAAAUCGCCAAGUUUCCCCGAGUGCUGAGAAUAUUUAGAACUAGAAACUUCCUGUGGAACAACUGCUAAUUUUUAAUGCUGCAGAAUGUAAUAUGUAAUUUAAUUAAAGCAAAUAAAGGCUCAACAUGC